rnacentral:rRNA from 1 species
GAGGCUCGAAAGUAUGGUAGCAAACAGGAUUAGAUACCUGGUAGUCCAUACCGUAAACGAUGAAUGCUAAGUGUGGGAGGUUUCCCCUUCAGUGCUGCAGCUAACGCAUUAAGCAUUCCGCGUGGGGAGUACGGCCGCAAGGCUGAAACUCAAAGGAAUUGACGGGGGCCCGCACAAGCGGUGGAGCAUGUGGUUUAAUUCGAAGCUACGCGAAGAACCUUACCAGGUCUUGACAUACUAUGCAAAUCUAAGAGAUUAGACGUUCCCUUCGGGGACAUGGAUACAGGUGGUGCAUGGUUGUCGUCAGCUCGUGUCGUGAGAUGUUGGGUUAAGUCCCGCAACGAGCGCAACCCUUAUUAUCAGUUGCCAGCAUUAAGUUGGGCAUUCUGGUGAGACUGCCGGUGACAAACCGGAGGAAGGUGGGGAUGACGUCAAAUCAUCAUGCCCCUUAUGACCUGGGCUACACACGUGCUACAAUGGGUGGUACAACGAGUUGCGAACUCGCGAGAGUAAGCUAAUCUCUUAAAGCCAUUCUCAGUUCGGAUUGUAGGCUGCAACUCGCCUACAUGAAGUCGGAAUCGCUAGUAAUCGCGGAUCAGCAUGCCGCGGUGAAUACGUUCCCGGGCCUUGUACACACCGCCCGUCACACCAUGAGAGUUUGUAACACCCAAAGUCGGUGGGGUAACCUUUAGGAACCAGCCGCCUAAGGUGGGACAGAUGAUUAGGGUGAAGUCGUAACAAGGUAACCA